CCAAAUCCACCUACCAGCAUUCAUUGAGAAGUGUUGGUUUCACGGGUUAUUUACUGCAAGGCAGCAGCCAAAGAUAUAUUCAUCUCUGAAAUGGAAAAGAAAUACAAUUCCUGUCUUUGCACUUCUAAUGAGCUCUGGCAAAUUUGCUCCCUUUUGUAGUCCUGGGGUCAAUCAAUUAGUGAUUGCCCAGGGAGAAGCUUAAUUAAGCUCAGAUAACAUAACAGAGGUUUCACCCCCUCGCCCUCCGUCUGUGCGUAUCCUCCUUUACACAUCUGGAUAAAAGCUUCUUUGCAAAGCCGGGGGAGCCAUCGCUUCAAGCUGCGUCCCUGAGAGCACGUCCGAGCUCCCAAAAACCAUUGCAAACUCUUGCAUCAUGCAGGAGCAGGGGAAGCCGGAGCAGCUGGGAAGUGAGAAGAUCCAUUCUGGCAGCUGUGCCACAGGGACAGGGCGUCACUCGGAGCAACAAAAGCAAAGGGCUCGUCCAGGAUCAGAGGAGCUGCACAAGCACACUGGGACGUUGUGAGAACCGAUGGACCUAACACCCUCCCAGAGUGAAUGUCUCUUUGCUGCUUAUCGCUCUGAUCUAAUUCAAACUUCUGGACAGUCAGAGCAGCAGCAUUUUAUUCCUGGGAGAGGAGGAGGCUGAAACAUGGGGAGUCUGGACUGAGGCAUCUGGGAGAAGGAAAGUCCCACAGUGUGAGGUUGUUAAUGAAAAUACUGCAUAAAAUGGAUUCCACACAGACGUUGGGAGGACCCCGUUUGAAAAUUCCUCUCAGUAUGACAAGGAACAAUUGACAAAUGUUUCUGAAGGUAUAUUCAUAAUGAGUCAUGCACCUACUUUUUGAGGAUUUCAUCUUAACUGUGUUGUCUUUGUUUGCUAAGGAGAACGUCGUGUGAAAUGGUGUGAAAACCAUGUAAGAGUCAAGACAUAUAGCCACAGUUUACCUCUUACCUAGGAAGAAGUGCAUAUGGAACCUGGUCUAAGACAGAUAUAGGCUU